AUUGAACGCUGGCGGCAGGCCUAACACAUGCAAGUCGAACGGUAACAGGAAACAGCUUGCUGUUUCGCUGACGAGUGGCGGACGGGUGAGUAAUGUCUGGGAAACUGCCUGAUGGAGGGGGAUAACUACUGGAAACGGUAGCUAAUACCGCAUAACGUCGCAAGACCAAAGAGGGGGACCUUCGGGCCUCUUGCCAUCGGAUGUGCCCAGAUGGGAUUAGCUAGUAGGUGGGGUAACGGCGCACCUAGGCGACGAUCCCUAGCUGGUCUGAGAGGAUGACCGGCCACACUGGAACUGGUACACGGUCCAGACUCCUACGGGAGGCAGCAGUGGGGAAUAUUGCACAAUGGGCGCAAGCCUGAUGCAGCCAUGCCGCGUGUAUGAAGAAGGCCUUCGGGUUGUAAAGUACUUUCAGCGGGGAGGAAGGGAGUAAAGUCAAUACCUUUGCUCAUUGACGUUACCCGCAGAAGAAGCACCGGCUAACUCCGUGCCAGCCGCCGCCGUAA
rnacentral:rRNA from 1 species